GUAAAUCAACUAAUCAACUAUACUUCAAUAAAAUAAAUUUUAAAAAAUAAAAGAUAAGGCAGUCACAUACAUCAAAACAUAUGGUUCCUGCCGACAGGGUCUGUAUAGUUAUCAGAUUUUCUGUGCGAUGGCUCCAUACAUG